UUGAUCCUGGCUCAGGAUGAACGCGGCGGCGUGCUUAACACAUGCAAGUCGAACGAGAAAGGCCCUUCGGGGGACGAGUAAAGUGGCGAACGGGUGAGUAACACGUGGGUAACCUGCUCUCGGGUAUGGGAUAACGGCUCGAAAGGGCCGCUAAUACCGUAUGUGACCACGGACUCCUCGGAGUCUGAGGUAAAAGGAGGCCUCUCCCUGGAAGCUUCCGCCCAAGAAUGGGCCCGCGCACUAUUAGCUAGUUGGUGAGGUAACGGCCCACCAAGGCGAUGAUGGUUAGCUGGUCUGAGAGGAUGACCAGCCACACUGGAACUGAAACACGGUCCAGACUCCUACGGGAGGCAGCAGUGGGGAAUAUUGCGCAAUGGGGGAAACCCUGACGCAGCAACGCCGCGUGGGUGAAGAAGGCCUUCGGGUUGUAAAGCCCUGUCAGAAGGAAAGAAAACGGUUGCGGUCAAUACCCGCUUCCGUUGACGGUACCUUCAGAGGAAGCACCGGCUAACUCCGUGCCAGCAGCCGCGGUAAUACGGAGGGUGCAAGCGUUGUUCGGAAUCAUUGGGCGUAAAGCGCGUGUAGGCGGCCCGACAAGUCAGAUGUGAAAGGCCCGCGCUCCACGCGGGAGCUGCCGUUGAUACUGUCGG
rnacentral:rRNA from 1 species